rnacentral:rRNA from 1 species
UACGUAGGGGGCAAGCGUUGUCCGGAAUCAUUGGGCGUAAAGAGCGUGUAGGUGGCUCGGUAAGUCCGCUGUGAAAGUCCAGGGCUCAACCCUGGAAAGCCGGUGGAAACUGUCGAGCUCGAGUCCGGAAGAGGCGAGUGGAAUUCCUGGUGUAGCGGUGAAAUGCGCAGAUAUCAGGAGGAACACCAAUGGCGAAGGCAGCUCGCUGGGACGGUACUGACACUGAGACGCGAAAGCGUGGGGAGCAAACAGGAUUAGAAACCC